rnacentral:lncRNA from 1 species
GGAUGUGCUAAAGCAGUGCUUAAUGGGAAAUGUACAGCCUUAAAUGAAUAUAUUUAAAAGAAGAAAGCUCUAAAAUCAAUAAUCUUGACUCCCAUCUUAGGAAAGUAAAGGAAAAAGGGCAAAAUAAGCCCAAAGCGAAUGAAAGAAUAAAAAUUAGAAAUCAAGGAAAUUGAAAAUAGGAAAACAAUAAAGCAAACCAAUGAGACAAAAUAAAGCUGGUUCUUUAAAAAUAUCAAUCAAUUUAAUAAACCUCUAGCAAGGUUAACCAAGAAAAAAGAGAAGACACAAAUUAGUAGUGUCAGAAAUGAGAAAGUUUCAUCAUUAUUGAUUCCUUGGACAUUAAAAGGAUAGUAACAGAAUACUACAAAUAACUAUGCCCCAAAAUGUGAUGGCUUAGAUGAAAGGAACCAAUUUCCUGAAAGACACAUAUCACCAAAACUCACACAAGGAGAAAUAAAUAACUGGAACAGACCUAUAUUUACCAAAGAAAUUCAAUCAAUCAGUUCCAGAUUGUUUUACUGGUGAAUUCCACCAAAUAUUAUAUUUAAGGAAGAGGUAAAAUCAAUUCUCCAUAAUUUCUUCCAGAAAAUAGAAGCAGAGGGAAUGGUUCCUAACUCAUUUUAUUAGUCUAGCAUUACUUUGAUACCAAAACCAGAUAAAGACAUUACAAGAAAGGAAAACUAAGAACCACAUUUUUUAUAAACAUAGAUACACAUAUCCUUAAAAAAUAUUAGCAAAUGGAAUGCAUCAAUAUAUAAAAAGGAUAAUACAUCACAACCAAGUGAGGUUCAUUCCUAGAAUGUGAGGCUGGUUCAACAUUCGUAAAUCAAUCCAUGUAAUUCAUCAUAUUAACACAUUGAAUUAGAAAAACCAUCUGAUUAUAUCAAUAGAUGCUGAAACAGUCAACAUCAUGUUUCAUAGAAUAAAAACAUUCAACAAAAUCUAACACUCAUUCAUGAUAAAAACUCUCAAAACACUAGGACUAGAGCAACUUCCUUACUCUAAAAAAGAAAUGUUAUGAUUCACAUCAGACUUAACGGUGCAAGACUGAAUGUUUUUCCCCUGACAUUGGGAAGAAGGCAAGGAGGUUCCCAUUCCCAUUCAACAUCAUACAGGAAGUUCUGCCUAACAGAAUAAAUUUAGAAAACGAAAUAGGUAUUCAGAUGGGAAAGAAAAAGAAACUCAAUUUUUUUGCAGAUGACAUAAUUGGCUAUGGGAAAAACUCCAAAGAAUCUACAAAAACAACUCCUGGAACUAAAAAGCAAGUAUAGCAAAGUCUCAGGAUACAAGGUCAAUAUACAAAUGUCAAUUGAUUUCCAAUAAACCAACAAUGAACAAUUAGAAUUUCAAAUUGAAAAAAAUACUAUUUAUAGUAGCACCAAAAGAAUCAAGCACUUUAUAAAUCUAACAAAAUACAUCCAGGAUUUUAUGCAGAAAAUUACAGGACAUUGAUGAAAGUAGUCAAAUAAGAUCUAAAUAAAUGGAGAGAACUUCUGGGUCAUACGAAGACUUAAUAUUGCUCAGAUAUCAAUUCUUCCCAGCUUGAUCCAUAGAUUCAAUGCAAUCUCAAUAAAAACCCCAGCCAACUAUUUUGUAGAUGUUGACAAACUAAUUCUAAAAUUUAUACGGAAAGACAAAAAAACCUAGAAUAGCAAACAUGAUACUGAAGAGCAAAGUUGAAGAACUUAUACUACUCAAUUUUAAGUUUUACUAAAAGCUACAUUAAUUAAGACACUGUGGUAUUGGUGAAAGAAUAAAUACAUAGAUCAAUGGAAUGAAACAGAGAGCUCUGAAAUAGACUUGUAGAAAUACAGUCAACUGAUGUUUGACAAUGGCAUAAAGGCAAUUCCGUGGAGAAAAAAUAAUCUUUUUCAACAAAUCGUGCUGGAACAAUUAGAUAGCCAUUAAAUAAGAGAAUCUAGACAAAAAUUAUUACAGAAAAAUUAACUCAAAUGGAUUAUAGACCCAAGUGGAUUAUAUUUAAUACUAUAAAAUGUACUGUAAAACUUCUAGAAGAAUACAUAAAUAAAAUCUACGUGCCCUGGGUUUGGAGAUGAGUUUUUAGACACAGCACCAAAAGCAUCAUCCAAGAAAACAAUAGAUAAGUUGAAUUUUAUUAAAAUCAAAAAUUUUUGCUCUGCUAAAGAAUGAAGAGACAAGGCCAAGAUAGGAAAAAAAUAUUUGCAAAAUGCAUCAUACCUGAUAAUGGACAUGUAUCCAAAAUAUACAAAGAAUUUUAAAAAUACAACAAUAAGAAAAAAGGACAACUCUAUUUUAAAAUGGGCAAAGGACAAAGGAUCUGAAAACAUAUCUCAUCAAAAAAGAUAUAUAGGCCAGGCACAGUGGCUCACACCUGUAAUCCUAGCACUUCGAGAGGCAGAGGCAGGAGGAUCGCAUGAGUCCAAGAGUUCAAGACCAGCCUGGACAACAUAGGGAGACCCCGUCUCUGUUUUUUUAAAAAAAGAUAUACAGAUGGCAAGUAAGCAUGCCUUAGCUCGGGAUGCUGUAACAAGAUGUCACAGACUGAGUGGUUUAAACAACAGAAAUUUGUUUUCUCAUAGUUCUGGAGGCUGGAAGUUCAAAGUCAGGGUGCCAAUGGGGUUGAGUCCUGGUAAGGACCUCCUUCCUGGCUUAUAGAUGGUGACUCCUCACCACGUCCUCACAUGGUCUUUCCUGAGUGUGUGUGUAUGGAGAGAGAGCAAAUUCGGGUCUCUCUUCCUCUUAAAAAGACACCAGUCCCAUCAUGAGGGUUCCCCUCUAAUGUCUGUAUUUAACCCUAAUUACUUCCAUAAGGGUCUUAUCUCCAAAUACAUCCACAUUGGGGUUGGGGCUUCAACAUAGGAAUUUCGGGGAUCACAAACAUUCAGUCCAUAACAAAGUAUAGGAAAAGAUGCUCAAUAUAAAAUGCUAUUAGGGAAAUGCAAAUUAAAAUAAGGAAAUACCACUUCACACCUAUGAAAGUGACUAAAAUCCUUAACACCAACAGCACCAAAUGCUGGUGAGGAUGUGGGUCGACAGGAGCUCUCAUCCCAGCACUGGGAAUGCAAACGGGGCAACAGGAGCUCUCAUCCCAGCACUGGGAAUGCAAACGGAGCAACAGGAGCUCUCAGAGAAGGAACCAACCCUUGACUGUGGACUGCUGGCCUCCAGAAUGAUCCAAGAAAUUUUGACCCAGGAUUCCAGGUCCCAAAUCACAGAGCCUUUCUGGCUGCUUUCUGGCAGUAUGAGUGCAGCAGCUGGAAGAAAUUAGGGGUCUCCAGGUGCACCAAGAAGGGGGAUCGAUGUUCAACAUCAGCAUGCAGAAGACUUUCCUGUGGAGCUGAAACAGGUUGCUUACAGUGUGAAGAAAAAAGGGCUGUUUUAUGAAGUACCUUUCUCUGUUAAUUUGGACAAUCACAGGAAUGAUCUGAUGAUGAAGAUAUGUUUGUUUUAUUUAUUGUGUUUGAGACAGAAUCUCACUCUGUUGCUCAGGCUGGAGUGCACUGGCGCGAUCUCGGCUCACCAUAACCUCCGCCUCCCAGGUUCAAGUGAUUCUCCUGCCUCAGCCUCCUGAGUAGCUGGGUAGCUAGGAUUACAGGCAUGCGCCACCAUGCCCGGCUAAUUUUUGCAUUUUUAGUAGAGACAGGGUUAUACCAUGUUUGCUAGGCUGGUCUCAAACUCCUGACCUCAGGUGACCUGCCCACCUCGGCCUCCCAAAGUGCUGGGAUUACAGCAUGAGCCACCAUACCCAGCCAUGUUUAUGUUUUUAUGCAUAUGUGAUACGAACAGAAGGCAGAGAAAUAUUGGGUAACAAAAGGCAGUUCCCCGGCAAAGGCUCCACCCUCAAGCCUGGAAACCUCAGCCCUAAAAGAGAACAGUUAUCCCUGUUUUCCCACCCAAAUGUUACUUUUUUGGCCUGCCCCAUUUCCCUAUCCUGUGCUUAUAAACCCCAGACCUUAGCUGGCAGAAGGACAAGUGGCUGAACAUCGAGAGAAGAAGCAACUGAACAUCAGAGACUACGGAUAGAUGCAGCUUAACUUCAGACGGCACAGCUUCCGAGACGAACCCAGCUGAAGAUGGCAGGCUUCAGGGAAAGAUCACCUUCUUCCCACACCAUCCCCUUUCCAGCUCACCUUCUGCUGAGAGCCAUUUCCACCGCUUAAUAAAAUCCUCCACAUUCAUCACCUUUCAAACCAUUCGUGCGACCUGAUUCUUCCUGGAUGCUGAACAAGAACCAGGGUACCAAGAGGGCAGGGUGUAAAAAACUGUCACCCUGACUCUCCAUUGAGCUGGUUAAUAUUUAGCUAUCUGUGGAUGGCAACUGUUAAAAGGGCAUUAACUGUAACACACCCCUAGACACUGCCAGGGUGCCAGAGCCUAAAAGCGCUCGCCCUAGCCCCAGCACCUGCUUGCCUGCAUGCUCCCCCUCCCGAAGGGGUUUGAGUGCGAGUAAGUGAGCCACACCCCUGUCGAAAGUCCAGCGAAGGGGUCAAGGGAAUUCUCCCAUCUCGUAUGCACAAUGAUUUCUGACAUUUUUGUUGAGUUUCUGGCUUUUCACGAAGCACCUCUACACUAGCAGACAGGCAGGGUGGGCACCUGAUAUCCCCACUCCACAGGAUGGGGAGACUGAGGUCUGGGAAUCAGGUCAGUCUUUUGCAAUAAGUGAGAGACUAAAGUGCUUCCAACAACAGGGCUCUGGUGCUGGAAGCACAGAGCAGGUGUGGAGGGGCGGUCACUCUGUGCCCCAUGGGUGUGUUCCCUGGGUUCCCCCAGCUCUGCUCAGCCCUGCUUCUCGGCUCUGUCCCUGAGCUGUGGCUCCCCUUCCGGGCACGAGGUUUCUGUGCUUCCUUUCUUAGACCCAGGACAACACUUGCCGUCACACGGGGCCUGUGCUUGGAACAGCCCCAGCUUUGGUUUAAUGUUCUGCUGUCACCAUCUUAUCAUUUUUAGUAGUCUAUCUUUGAACAUGUGUCUUGUAACUGAAGUCCAAUGGGACAGUGGAGUGUGUCUGUGGCAGGAGGCUCAAGCUGGGUGUAUG